rnacentral:rRNA from 1 species
CGAUGAAGCCCAGCUUGCUGGGUGGAUUAGUGGCGAACGGGUGAGUAACACGUGAGUAACCUGCCCUUAACUCUGGGAUAAGCCUGGGAAACUGGGUCUAAUACCGGAUAGGAGCGUCCACCGCAUGGUGGGUGUUGGAAAGAUUUAUCGGUUUUGGAUGGACUCGCGGCCUAUCAGCUUGUUGGUGAGGUAAUGGCUCACCAAGGCGACGACGGGUAGCCGGCCUGAGAGGGUGACCGGCCACACUGGGACUGAGACACGGCCCAGACUCCUACGGGAGGCAGCAGUGGGGAAUAUUGCACAAUGGGCGCAAGCCUGAUGCAGCGACGCCGCGUGAGGGAUGACGGCCUUCGGGUUGUAAACCUCUUUCAGUAGGGAAGAAGCGAAAGUGACGGUACCUGCAGAAGAAGCACCGGCUAACUACGUGCCAGCAGCCGCGGUAAUACGUAGGGUGCGAGCGUUAUCCGGAAUUAUUGGGCGUAAAGAGCUCGUAGGCGGUUUGUCGCGUCUGUCGUGAAAGUCCGGGGCUUAACCCCGGAUCUGCGGUGGGUACGGGCAGACUAGAGUGCAGUAGGGGAGACUGGAAUUCCUGGUGUAGCGGUGGAAUGCGCAGAUAUCAGGAGGAACACCGAUGGCGAAGGCAGGUCUCUGGGCUGUAACUGACGCUGAGGAGCGAAAGCAUGGGGAGCGAACAGGAUUAGAUACCCUGGUAGUCCAUGCCGUAAACGUUGGGCACUAGGUGUGGGG